rnacentral:rRNA from 1 species
GCAAGCCUGAUCCAGCCAUGCCGCGUGUGUGAAGAAGGCCUUCGGGUUGUAAAGCACUUUUAUUGGGAAAGAAAUCCCUUGGGCUAAUACCCUGAGGGUCUGACGGUACCNGAAGAAUAAGCACCGGCUAACUNCGUGCCAGCAGCCGCGGUAAUACGUAGGGNGCAAGCGUUAAUCGGAAUUACUGGGCGUAAAGCGCUGCGCAGGCGGUUUUGUAAGUCAGAUGUGAAAGCCCCGGGCUCAACCUGGGAAUUGCAUUUGAAACUGCAAGGCUAGAGUGUGUCAGAGGGAGGUGGAAUUCCGGGUGUAGCAGUGAAAUGCGUAGAGAUGCGGAGGAACACCGAUGGCGAAGGCAGCCUCCUGGGCUAACACUGACGCUCAUGCUACGAAAGCGUGGGGAGCAA